UCCAAAGUCAAAAGUAAAGGGUCUUCCAAGGUGAGAUCAAAUGACGUCACCUAUAAGAUGCUGACUUGGCAGGUUGCUUCUGGUGGGCACAGACCCGGUUUGAAGCUUUCCGGGUUCUCGGCUACUGGACUUCUUGAUCUUAUGUCUGAUGAUUAUGGUUAUGAUCAUGAUUAUCAAUCUGAUGAAGAAGAAGAAGAAGAAGAAUACAUAGGAAGUGUUGUAGAGGAAAUUGUGGAUAUACAGAGUGAUGAUGAUGAUGAUGAUGAUGAUGAUGGGGAAAAAGGAGAGGAUGUGUCUCAUGAUGAUAGUGAAAAGGAAGAAUAUGGGUCUCCUGUUGCUGCUGCUGAUGAUGAUGGAAGGAUGAGUUUCUGUGAUGUGGGGGUGAUGAUGAUGAUGAUGGAUCAUGUGGAAGAAUUUGAUGAAGAAGGAUGGUGUUUGGUUGAAGAAAUGAUGACUUAAUUGAUCUAUUUGAUUUAUUCCCCCCAAAUAAUUGUAUUUCCUUUUGCUUUGUAAAUUGUUUUAAUAACUUUGGGGGAUGAAUGAUUAUUAUCUAUGUAAAUGUGAUUUAUUAUUUAAAUCAAAAACUAUGAUUUGUAAUUAUAAUAACUUCUGUAAACUUGAAACAUCUACUUACCAACUCUCAAAUUAUAUCCUGCAAUCAUAUCUCUAUGAACAACAACACUAGCAAACAUAUUAAAAUGAAUGUAAGAUUGCAAAAAAAGAAAAAAAAGUAUUUCACUGAAGAUGAAGAUACAUACAACAUAACUUUCAUUAUAGAGAUACAAUACAAACUUCUUGGUAUUCCAGUUGUUUAGCUACUGUACACUCAAAGAUUCUCUUCUCUUUUACCAUACUUGAAUCCUGAGGACAGAUCUUUCUAAGAGCUUUGAAUCCAGCGGAGAAGAGUCUAUCUUUUAUCCUCAGAGAUUCCUCCUCUGUGUUUUGGUUGGCCCUUCUGUUUCCCCAACCAUCUCAGGGUUGAAGCAAAGACAUAGAAACGGUUUGUUUGGUUUCUUGUCAGUCUUUUUCUGAAAGAACAACACAACCAGUGUCAGUCUUCACAUUAAAUAAUAGAAAUGAGAAAUGUUCAUUCUUCUCAUGAUUUGUUGAAAUCUAAAUUUUACCUUGGAGUUUUGACGUUGAGCCUUAGUGCUGCUGCCCAUCAAAAGCCUACAUCAUAAAAUAAUUAUACAAUUAGGAAAAGAAAAUCAUCAAUUCAAAUGCAAAUUGACUCCAGAGUAGAAAACAAAUCCGGCUUACUUCAAGAAACUGAAUCUUGGACGAACUGAUUUUUCGUUCUUCUUGAUCGAGUCCUCGCUGCAAGAUUAACAUCAUAAAACCAAUCAGAUAAGAGGACAAGAUCAUUAGAGAAAGAACAAAAAACAAUCAAAAGCUGCUUUGCUUACCUUAGUUUCUGUGUGACAACAAGCUCCAUUGCUUUGUCUGGAGUUUCUGAUGGAAACACCGAUGACUUAUUGGUUACAAAUUUUCUCUCUUCUUCUUUUUCUUCAACAGAGGAGCUCUUCUUCAACAAUUCUUCAUCCUCUUCCCUUUCAUCAAGCACUUCAACAACAGCUUGUAAAUCAUCUUCAGUCACCGGUUCAGCUAACGAGCUACCCACCACAACGUCUUCUUGUUCCAAAACUACAACAACACAUUUUGUUUCAGGUUCUUCACUAACUAAUUCAGUUUCACCGCUCUCUUCUUCCUUAGCCUCAUCUUUAGUCAAUGUCUCCAAAGUGUUUAGCAACACCGCAACACUUUCUGGUUGUUGUUGUUGUUGUUUUGAUUCAUCUAAAGAAGUUUUUGCUUUCUUGGAUUCAGCGAUUUUCUUGUAAUGAGCGUCAAAGAAAGCUUUCUUCUGAGCAACGGAUCCAGGCUGAGAAUACUUCUCUGCCUCGUCGACAUACUUCUUGUGCGAGAAACUCGACCAUUUUCCCCAUUCAAGAUUCUCUGUCGUGAACCUACCAAAUGAGACUGAUUGGCUAAGCGCAUGUUUAGUAUUAUCCUGCAAUCCAACAAACCAAAUUUGUAAACUUUCUAUUGAAUCAAAGUGUUUCCAAUCAAAUCAUUAGCUAAAGCGCAAGCCCAAACUCAGUAAAUUAAUAGGAAGAUUCAUACAAAAAACAUUCACAAUUUUUCGUCUCAUAGUCUAUCCAUAAAGUUAAUAACUUGUGAUUUAAAAUCGUCCAGAAAACAUUGAAUUUUCCGGAAAACUUUUGCAAUUAGGAGGAACUCAAUCAAUAAUAAUAGAAAGGAAAGGAACAAACCUGAUGAGUUUCAUUACGAGAAAGAGGAGGAGCUCCGAACGAAUAUGAAUGAAACAGAACAGCAGAUUCACCCAUUCCCAAUCCCCCCCACAAGAUUCUCUAAAAUUGUUUUCCUUCUUUUUUUUGUAAGCCAAAACGGCUAAUAGAAUUCGAACGUUCGGAAACAAUUCUUUUCUCAGACCAAACACAUGUUUUAGAAGACCAUCCGAAGGAGUUUUGUUCGAAUUUGGGUCCCACAAAACAGAAAUAAAAUUUUGAAAAACUUAAGAACCUUUGAGUUUUAUAUAGGGGAAUUUGAUUUGAUAGAAAAAUGCAAAACUGUGCUUAAAUUAUGAACCUAACAAGUUUAACCAAAACACAAUUAUUUCUGCUAUGGUUGUUAACAUGAAGUGGUUGAGAAUUGAAACAAAUGGGGAAAACGAAAUUUUCUGGUGAUGAUAUAAUUAAAAAGUUAUUUUUCUUUGGAAACUCUGUGCUUUCUAAACUGAAUUCUGUGUACCUUUAAAUUGGCAGAUAAUAGUAAUGCGUUUUAAAAUAUCUAUACUAUUAAAAGGGAAAAAGUCCUAAAAAAAUCUACUUAUAAAAAGUUGUUAAACCAUUUCAUUAAAACUAAUAAUAUUUUUGGUCUUGCCAUAAUAUUUGACUAACAAUAAAUCACUUAAAAUUUUUCUAACAAUAAUUUAUUACAUCAUACUUUUUUGUACAUGACAAAGUUAUACGACAUAUCAUAUCAUUUGCUACACAAAAAUGAUAUACGACAUAUAGAUCCAUACAUGUCUCAUUUCACUCAAUAUAAAUGAACUUUCAUCCAGUAUAAAAUCGUUAAUCCAGCAACUAUGUAACAUUAGACUACAUCAUUUCUAUACUUUUGUCCUAUAUUAUGAAAAAGCUCAUUCAUGUCUCAUGUUAAUAUUCAAUCUAUACUAUUAAAUUUGCCAAAAUCCACCAAGUAAAUCAUAAGUUUCACGAGUUCAACAAAUAUAACUCUUAUAAAAUGCACACAAAAUAUAAUAUGAAAGAGUAGGUUUGGGCAUCGGCUCUUCUGGUCGGGUAUAGAUUGGUUCCUUUCGGGUUUAGGUUUUCGGAUCAUAAACAUUUGGACAUAACUAGGUAUUUAAAAAAUAUCGGUUCGGAUUCGGAUCGAUUCCUUUGGAGUCCGGAUCCAUAAUUUAAAUACCUAUAACUUUUGGGUAUGUAACGGCUCCGAAUUGGUUUGAGAUUUUUAGAACUCGGAAAACACUUGAAGUACCCAAAAACCCAAAAAUACUAAAAACACAAAAAAAAUACACGAAAACACAAACAAAUACCAGAAAAAAAUAUUUGAAUUCCAAAAAAAAAAUUACAUAAAUCUGACCUAAGAAAUGGACGAUACCUAAAAACUUUUUCUAAUACCCAAAAUAUUUAUAAAAAAUUAAAAUUUUAUGUGAAACUCGAAACUAUAAUCGAAAACUUGGAUAUGAAACUUAAGAAACUAUUCAUAAUACUGAAAACAUAUUCGAAAUACCAAAUAUAAAUCUGAAAUACCCAAAUAUAGGCUAUAUAGCUAAUAUACACAAGCCAUAUACUUUGGAUACCCAAUUGGGUCUCGGGUAGGACCCAUAAUCAAACAGAGACCAUUGGUUGAAGAAAUAAUCAAAGAUGUACUUUGCCCUGAACCCGGACCCAAACCACAAUUAUAUUUAUGGGUCAGUUUUGGUUAGUUUUUUAGAUCCGAUAAAAUGUCCAAGCUUAAUAAAAAAUUUAUAUAAAAGUGUACAUACAAGAUCUUAUAUAAACUAAUUUAUAAAUUAUAUCAUUUAAAAUAAAUGCACGUCUUCUAUAUAAUGACUUUGUAACAUAAUAAUGUACACCAAUUUCAAAAUACUAAUUCAAAAACUUUGUUUACAAUCCAAAAAAACCCGUGCUUUCUAAGCGCAUGUCAAAAUCUAGUAUUUUAGUUAUUUUUACUAAACAUUUUUUGCUCUAUCAAGUUAUGCUUUAUCAGUGAUAGAAAGUACAUUUAUCAGAUACAAUAUUUUAUAAAAACUCUGGACAAUUUCUCUAUCAAAUUUAAUACCAUUUUUUUUAAAUGUACCUUUAAAAGAUGAUUUUCAUAAAUACUUUAAAUUUGUGAUAAGAAGAUUAAAUUAACUCUCAUAAAAAUCAUUCUUAAAUAUAAAAGAUUAAUUUAUAAAACAUCUAUAGAAGUUUAUAAACUCAACACCACACCCCUUAAAUACUAAUCCUAAACAAUAAUCAAUAAACCCUAAGCUUAAAUGUUACAGUAUUUUUAUUUGAGUGUAUUUUUGAAAAGUAGUAGCUAACUUAGGAUGUUUUUAAGCAAUUUCUCUUUUGAAAAUUAAUUUUCCUAAUUUUAGGAAAGUAUUUGUUGAAAAUUGUGAUUAGUUAAUAAAAUACUUUAUUAAAAUUCAAACCUAAAAUCCUAAUCUUCGCUAAAAGUUAUUUUAAAAACUAUUCUCAAGACUCAGUUUUUUUCUUUCAGUUCAGUUCAGUUUUUAUGUUUUUGGUUUGGUUUUUGCUCUCCGGUUUAAAUCUCAUAAUUAUACGAUGAUUGAUGAUGAUGCAUAUGUUCAGAGGUGCCUUGUGCCACGUCCAGACCUGGGCUUGAGCAGAUACCUAAGAAACAUUUGCAUGGGGCCUACAAAUUGUAUACAUUUUUUGGGUUUGCAUUUUCUGUUUUUAUUGCUAGCAUAUGAAAAUGUUAACAUGAAGUGGUUGAGAAUUGAAACAAAUGGGGAAAACGAAAUUUUCUGGUGAUGAUAUAAUUAAAAAGUUAUUUUUCUUUGGAAACUCUGUGCUUUCUAAACUGAAUUCUGUGUACCUUUAAAUUGGCAGAUAAUAGUAAUGCGUUUUAAAAUAUCUAUACUAUUAAAAGGGAAAAAGUCCUAAAAAAAUCUACUUAUAAAAAGUUGUUAAACCAUUUCAUUAAAACUAAUAAUAUUUUUGGUCUUGCCAUAAUAUUUGACUAACAAUAAAUCACUUAAAAUUUUUCUAACAAUAAUUUAUUACAUCAUACUUUUUUGUACAUGACAAAGUUAUACGACAUAUCAUAUCAUUUGCUACACAAAAAUGAUAUACGACAUAUAGAUCCAUACAUGUCUCAUUUCACUCAAUAUAAAUGAACUUUCAUCCAGUAUAAAAUCGUUAAUCCAGCAACUAUGUAACAUUAGACUACAUCAUUUCUAUACUUUUGUCCUAUAUUAUGAAAAAGCUCAUUCAUGUCUCAUGUUAAUAUUCAAUCUAUACUAUUAAAUUUGCCAAAAUCCACCAAGUAAAUCAUAAGUUUCACGAGUUCAACAAAUAUAACUCUUAUAAAAUGCACACAAAAUAUAAUAUGAAAGAGUAGGUUUGGGCAUCGGCUCUUCUGGUCGGGUAUAGAUUGGUUCCUUUCGGGUUUAGGUUUUCGGAUCAUAAACAUUUGGACAUAACUAGGUAUUUAAAAAAUAUCGGUUCGGAUUCGGAUCGAUUCCUUUGGAGUCCGGAUCCAUAAUUUAAAUACCUAUAACUUUUGGGUAUGUAACGGCUCCGAAUUGGUUUGAGAUUUUUAGAACUCGGAAAACACUUGAAGUACCCAAAAACCCAAAAAUACUAAAAACACAAAAAAAAUACACGAAAACACAAACAAAUACCAGAAAAAAAUAUUUGAAUUCCAAAAAAAAAAUUACAUAAAUCUGACCUAAGAAAUGGACGAUACCUAAAAACUUUUUCUAAUACCCAAAAUAUUUAUAAAAAAUUAAAAUUUUAUGUGAAACUCGAAACUAUAAUCGAAAACUUGGAUAUGAAACUUAAGAAACUAUUCAUAAUACUGAAAACAUAUUCGAAAUACCAAAUAUAAAUCUGAAAUACCCAAAUAUAGGCUAUAUAGCUAAUAUACACAAGCCAUAUACUUUGGAUACCCAAUUGGGUCUCGGGUAGGACCCAUAAUCAAACAGAGACCAUUGGUUGAAGAAAUAAUCAAAGAUGUACUUUGCCCUGAACCCGGACCCAAACCACAAUUAUAUUUAUGGGUCAGUUUUGGUUAGUUUUUUAGAUCCGAUAAAAUGUCCAAGCUUAAUAAAAAAUUUAUAUAAAAGUGUACAUACAAGAUCUUAUAUAAACUAAUUUAUAAAUUAUAUCAUUUAAAAUAAAUGCACGUCUUCUAUAUAAUGACUUUGUAACAUAAUAAUGUACACCAAUUUCAAAAUACUAAUUCAAAAACUUUGUUUACAAUCCAAAAAAACCCGUGCUUUCUAAGCGCAUGUCAAAAUCUAGUAUUUUAGUUAUUUUUACUAAACAUUUUUUGCUCUAUCAAGUUAUGCUUUAUCAGUGAUAGAAAGUACAUUUAUCAGAUACAAUAUUUUAUAAAAACUCUGGACAAUUUCUCUAUCAAAUUUAAUACCAUUUUUUUUAAAUGUACCUUUAAAAGAUGAUUUUCAUAAAUACUUUAAAUUUGUGAUAAGAAGAUUAAAUUAACUCUCAUAAAAAUCAUUCUUAAAUAUAAAAGAUUAAUUUAUAAAACAUCUAUAGAAGUUUAUAAACUCAACACCACACCCCUUAAAUACUAAUCCUAAACAAUAAUCAAUAAACCCUAAGCUUAAAUGUUACAGUAUUUUUAUUUGAGUGUAUUUUUGAAAAGUAGUAGCUAACUUAGGAUGUUUUUAAGCAAUUUCUCUUUUGAAAAUUAAUUUUCCUAAUUUUAGGAAAGUAUUUGUUGAAAAUUGUGAUUAGUUAAUAAAAUACUUUAUUAAAAUUCAAACCUAAAAUCCUAAUCUUCGCUAAAAGUUAUUUUAAAAACUAUUCUCAAGACUCAGUUUUUUUCUUUCAGUUCAGUUCAGUUUUUAUGUUUUUGGUUUGGUUUUUGCUCUCCGGUUUAAAUCUCAUAAUUAUACGAUGAUUGAUGAUGAUGCAUAUGUUCAGAGGUGCCUUGUGCCACGUCCAGACCUGGGCUUGAGCAGAUACCUAAGAAACAUUUGCAUGGGGCCUACAAAUUGUAUACAUUUUUUGGGUUUGCAUUUUCUGUUUUUAUUGCUAGCAUAUGAAAAGAAAAAUCAGUUCUAAGACGUGUUUUGAGCAUAUAACAUGAUAAAUGUUUAAUUUUGUUUCAUUCUCUUAUAUAAAAUGGAAUAGAAAGAUAAUUUUCAGAAUUGAUACUUUUAUAAAUUUUAAGGAUAUUGUAAUUUUUAAAUGUAAAUUAGAAUUUUAAUAAUUUAAAUUUUUAUAAAUUUAUUAGAUAGGGACUAUAUUUUUGGUUUCGUAUUGGACCCGAAAUAUCUCAGGACCGGCACUGGCCACGUCUUUCAGUUGAUAUCAUUGUUGUGGUGGCGAUUGAUCACGCUUUUCGCAAUCGGGAAUUCUUUCUGCUAUACUAACAUUCUUUGGUGUUAUUUGCAAAAUUUUCUAUGUAUUGGUUCGUUGCGCUAAGCACUCCCUUACAUUCGAUGGUAAAGUCAUCUCUCUCUCUCAUUGAUGAAUGAUCAAUGUAUAUAGUAUUUGAUUAAAUCACAACAGGCAAUAGCAGUGGUGACUAAGAACGUCGGCCACGUGUCGUUUUGGAUAUCUGUCGUUGCUGUCAUCAGCGGUAUGGCUUGGGGUGCUUACUCUUGCAUCUACAAAUUUGAUCUCUACCUCUUUGUAACAAUUUUUUUUAACCAUUGCUAUUUUUUUAAUUCAUAUCUUGAUUUUGAAUUGUUAACAACAUUUUGUUUUUUUUUGUUUGUAUAAGCAGUUGUCUUCAAAUACUGGUGUUUACUUCGAAGUUAUGCUUACUAUUACAAAUCUACUCCAAAGGUGAAAUCAGAGUGGAUUGAGCUUCUGAGUUAUGGUUUGUUCACAUUUCUUUUUUUAGGCCAGACAUAAACUUGAUUAGGUAUGCAGUUACUCUACAUAAUGUGUCAUGUCUAAAUCAUUCAAAUAUGUUCAAAGUCCUCCACAUUCUCUACUCCAACUCUCAAUAAACAUCAGAAAGCUCAGUAAUGUUUAAUUUUUGAACUACUUGUAAACUCAAUGGACACACAAGAGGAUGAAGAAAAUAGACUUAGAGACAUGUCAAGAUACGACUAUAUGACUUAGCCGAAACGACUUUCUUAAAAUCCAAUUUAUAUUAUUCAAGUCGGUUUAAAAUGUUUUAUAUCGGUUAAAACCGAAUCGAUGUAAAUUAGUUUAAAUUUGUUAAUUACUCAAUAAUGUUUAUAUAAAUCUUCAGAAUUGUCUAAUUUCUUUUGUUUUGUGUAUCUAAUUUUUAUAAUUCAUGAAAAUAAUUUUAUAAUUAAAUCCAAACUAAAAUAUUUUAUAAAGUGUAAAAUAUAUCUAAAAUAAAUCAAUAAUUCUUUAAUACCUAAAUUCUUUUAGGCCCCGAAUAAUCCAUAUAGUCGUUAGUCCUCUGUAAAACGAAUAGUUACUGCCUAACAAUUUUUUGAACAUUGGUGGGGAUCUAGUGAAGACACUUUUUCUUAGGGUCUGCAUGCUCCCUUGAUUAAAACUUUUAAGGUGUAUAAUAGUUUGCAAUUGAGUAUCUUUAUGGUCCAAGAGACUGUACGAUGUAAAAAACGCCACUAGUUGUAUUAAAGGGCCCAAUAUAGACCUAAUAUCUUCCGUUGCUCACCCAAUGAACCGUCCAGGUCGGGUCAAAAACUUGACGCAGAGUGAAAGAAGACCAUGCACCAUGACGCGAAACGCAGCCAAGUUUUCGAGAAAAUGGAUGAUGUACCAUUUUUUAAAGGUUUUUUAGCUUAAAGAAAAGGCCCAAAAUUUUUAAUUUGAUUGGGGCCUUUAAUUUUGAUGGCCCAUCCCUUGAUGUACCACACCGAAAUCAGCUAUAAAUGGUGGUUCAUCUACGACAAUAAUAGAUCAAGACGUAUAUUAGAUGUUUUCCAACUUUAGUUUAUCAAAAGGAGAAACAUGAUAGUGAUGAUAUGAUAACUGAUUAUCAUAAUAUGAAUAUCUUUGUGUUUUGUAUGAUUAUUUAUACUACUACACCAAGCAUCAUCAUAAUCAUCAAGUCUGCGUUUUGUUUCCCACAUGGCUAGCUAAGCUUAUAUUACAGUAUUUGUUGGGUUAAGAUAUUAUACAGGUUUUAAUACGGAUUAUUUUCCAAAUCUACUGGUAUUUGCUAUUUAACACAAAAUAUAUUUAGGAGUUAUCUUUUCCAUCAGCGUUGACUGCACAUCCGUAACUAACGUAAUUCGCUUCAUAAUUAUAAUUUAUAAGCAAAGUAACGGGUUUAGAUCUUUACUCACUUUUUAAAACGAUUAUCAUUUUUUCUUAUUAACCAUUAGGAAAAAUACGAGCUUAUUAUAUUUAAAGAUAUACGCUUGUACCAUUUUCCUAUCAAUUUUUAACAAUAAAUAACGAAUUGUCUCCACGUCUAUUAUUAUUAUUAUUAUUUUUUUUUUGUAAAAGGGCUGUCCACGUCUAUUUUUACAAUCAUUUUAAACUAAACACAACUAAUAAUUCUAUGAACCGAGAUAAUCACAAUUAAAGAAUUUUUGUCAUUAUGAAGCUAAUACUACCAUUCAUUUGCUAACUAAAAGAGGCAAUAAACAUUAAUUUACUUGAUGAUAACGAUAAGAAACAUUAUUUUACUUUCAAAAGCUUUCUAAUUCUGCAAGAUAUUUUCACCCCUUUCUCUUUUGCUUUCCUUUUUUAAAUCCAAAUUAUUGGCCGCUUAUGGGAACGUGAAAUACAGGAUCAAUUAUAAUCUUGAUUAGCUGUCUUGAUCAAUGCAUCAAAGCCGGCCAAUUUUUUUAAAAAAAGAGAUACACAUCUCUAAUUUUAGUUCCAAAAUAAAAAGAAAAAAAUUAUUUAAUAAAUUUCAAUAUUCCCUAUCUUAAAUCAAUAGUUUCCUCUCUCUAUAUAAACAAAUCUCGCAAAUUACUCAACAAACAGCAACAAAUAUUUUCUCAUUCACUCAAAGUUCAAACCAAAGCAAAACACAACUCUUUUUACGAAGAAGAUGAUGAUGAAGAAGAUGUUUGUUCAGAUCGCAGUGUUUUGUCUAUUGGCUACGAUCGCAGCCGUCUCCGGCCACGAAGGUCACGUUCACAGCCCGGCUCCGGCACCGGGACCGGCAACUAACUCAGCUGUCGUUCCAACCACCAACAUGUUCACCGGAUUGGCUUUUGCUGCCGUAGCGCUUGUUCUUGGUCUCAACCACUGAGUUCAUCAUCACUACUGCAUUCAGCUUUUCUUGUUUGGUUCAGUUUCUAUGAGAUUAUUCUCUUGACUUUCAAUAUUCUUUUUGUUCUAUCAAAGUUUCAUUUUGUUGUUUACCUUAUUUGGUGAAUAAAACAAAACUCCAUUGGACUCCUGUUGUUUUUUACUAUGAUUUUGGAUUUAAAAUCCGAUUCAUAGGAAACACCACACAAAUUAAAUCUCAAUCUAAAAAUUACGAUAUGGUUCACUAUAACUAGAUUCCACAUGAUGUAAACCUACGCAUAACUUUUGCAGAACGAUCUAAUGUAUAUAUAACCAGCUUUUUCUUAGUGUGUUGCUGUAUUUAGAUAAUUAGAAUCCACUUAAAAAACUUACGUGAGACCAAUGAGGAUAAUGAACGUACUUAAUAAGUAACAAGUUGGGUAUCUUAUAAUAGAGACGAGUCCAUAAGUAAAGGUGGGGUUAAGAGAAACCCGUUCCCGUAUCGUAAUCGUUAAAGGUAUGUAAGUAGAUAAAUGUCGACCUUAACAGAACAGACGUACGUAGGUUAGCACACAAAUUUAGAGAGAGAUGAUGGUUAAUUUAAAUUAUACUCAAAUGUAUUAGUAAUUAGAUCAUGUAGUAAAUAAAUAUAGUUUUAUUAGUCAUAGAGCAACUAGAUCCGUUGUAGCACACCGGUUAAUUUCAAUCUAAAUUGCUUGAAAUCCGGGUUCAACUCCCGGGAGCGGAAUUUUUUUUUUUAAAAUAGUUCAUCAAAUCAAUUUUAGGAAACAAAAAUAAAAGAAUAACACAGAUCAAACUCUUCUUAACUAUUUCCCUUUACAUCUAAAAUUAAUAUAACAAAGAAUCAAUCUGUAUUUUUCAGGGAAACCAAACACGAGAGAGCGACCUGAGCUAGAGGUUUCCUACACACGCAAAGUCAGAUCAUCAUCAUUCAUUCAUCAAGAUGAGAUCACAUUACCAACAAACCCAAGAUAAAUUAAGAAACACCUUUGUUAACUGGUAACAGAAACCACCUGUAUUGAGACCAAUCGUGGAAGAAACAGAAGUGUCAUCUUCUUUGUCUGACUCAGGGCCUCUUCAUCCUAAAGCUCCAUUAAAGCAGCUUCGGUUUCUGACAAAGGAGCUGCAAAAGAAAAGCAAUUAGAUCCUAGACGCAUAAGAUUACAGAAAAUAUACAGAACCGUUCUAUUGAUGACAGUAUUAAUGCGUUAGUAUUAUUAGAGUACACUUCAGCACAAUGUGAGGUCAUGUAAACACCAAAGAGGAUAUAAUGAACGUACCUAACAAGUCUUCGUAGGUAUCUGAUAACAGGGACGAGUCCAUUAGUAAUGGUGGAGAGAACACUUGGUCUUCGACGUCGUAAAACGAUUGUUGUGCAUCAGAAGCUACACUGUUUGAUCCAGCUACUGAGAGAAACCCGUUCCCAUUAUCGUAAUCUUUGAACGAAUCCAGAUCAUCGAACGUGUCAGGUAUAUCGCUGUACUUGCUUGGCGCUAGCCUAUGGGGAACAUUGGAUUCAAGAAAGGAAGGCUCGCUCAGAGAGGUAAGUAACCUCGACCCUCUGUGAGGUAGGCCUUUGGUUUCUGAUGUAAAUCGGGAAAAGCCUGUUCCUGAAAGAGGUACAAAAUAAUGCUCGGAGCCUUCAUCGGAUUGACUGUCCCGUGAUGAUCCUGCUUUUUUUAAAUGUACCUUUAAAAGAUGAUUNNNNNNNNNNNNNNNNNNNNNNNNNNNNNNNNNNNNNNNNNNNNNNNNNNNNNNNNNNNNNNNNNNNNNNNNNNNNNNNNNNNNNNNNNNNNNUCGGAAGAGAAUAAAAGUUGACUGAUUAAACUGUUACCGUAAUUCUCCCAAUCCCCUGAGAUUGUAGAAGUGAAGCUGCUUGCCCGUUACUUCUCGUAGCUGGAGGUAAGGUUGGGGGAAGAUUAUUAACCUUCUCAGUACAUUCUAAUAUGGAUUUCUGUAUGGCUGGAGAAACUUCCUUUAAUUGGUUGAUGAGUACCUGCAUAUAGUGUGGCAUCAGCUGUAAGAACGUAGUAGAGAUUUAACCAGUAAAGUAUGAGCUACAUUCAUAACACAUAUUUUGUAGGCAUGCUCCAAGAGAUCCUAAAAACAGUAUGGUAAUAAAAAUGUAGUUACUCAAUCGAUCAACUUUUUAUACUCUCUCAAGAGAAGCUGAAUCAGAAUACACACAAUUAUUCAUGGAACUCCGGAAAUCUCCAAUCAAACAACAUACUGCCUUUUAUAAAUAAAAUAGAACUGCCCGGAAAGUAGACUUCUAGUUUUUUUUUUGUUGCUGAAUCGGAUUAUAAGCUCUGUUUCCUCAACAAAAGCAUUUUACUUUCUACGUUUUGCAUUUGACUUCCACAGUUGGCCAAAUGCAACUUCUACCUAAGGCAACAAACAAGCAACACAUUUACCUGAAAGCUAGCUAAAUGUUGUUGAUGUUCAGUCAAAGUUGCAGCCAAUGAUUCAACAUGCCCACUUGUACCACCAUCAUUUGCAGUCCGCAAAAUAUCUGGACCUUCCCCGUCAUUUGCUUUAGCCUAACAUGCAAAAGUAAAAGAUAAGCAACAUAUCCAUGGAACUAAAACCUCACAGAGAAAAAGAGUGGAGCAUUAAUCAAUGACAUAAAGCGUACAAUUAGCCAGAAUUGUUUGAAGUACUUAAAUAUCCCCCACAGAGAUAAGAGAAGACAUACCAGCUGAAGAGACUGUUUAUGAAUACGCUGCAAUGCGUGUGUCCAGCGCCUUAUGAUUUCCGCUACAUCAACUGUCUGGUUGAUUCUUCCACCUCUUUCAUCUACUCGAGAAAGUGUUUCAUCACUUGCUUGUGAGUUGGUUUCGAAACUGUCUCCAAGAGAAUGCUGAUCAUGCAUGUUUGCGUACGACCCAUCACUUAGUUCUUUGUCAUCUGCAAGUGGCAGAGCUGAAUCAUCUGAAUGGGCAGAGAGCAAUUCUGCACGAGGAACUUGAGAACUCUGGUCCAUCGCUGCAAGUAGGGCUGAUCCUGAAAUUCGGUAUCUACAGAUCAAAGGUAACCAGAAGUCAGUAUAUUAGGAAGGAGAAUUCAAAACCGUAUGUGUUAUAAGAGGCCGGUUACCUAUGCUCUCUGUGAGCUAUCAAAUCCUCAAUGGGACCUGACGCAAGAACUUCAUGCUGACCUGAAGAUAGUAAAAAAAAAAAAUCAAACUAUGAAAGUCUCCAGCAUAAUUCUAAUUUCCAAACACUAGUUAUCUGAAUUUAACACAAAGAAUGAAAAGAACAUCAUAAAACCUUACCUUUGCGAGCCAUUAUAGAAUCCCAUAACCGAGUGGACUUUGAAACUAGAUGAGAAUUUUGGCUGGAGCUAGACACAAGAUCAUCCCACACCUCUCCUUCCUGCUUAACUUUGUUUCUUAAAUCGUUAAGUUUUUCUAGUUCCUGUUGCAGGUAAGCCUGAUGCCAACGAAACAAAAAAAAAAUGAAAUGCAUCAAGAAGAGCCUGAUAUAAUCAGAAAAAAAAAACAAAUCAGUACCAACCACCAAAGAAGAACAUACCUCUUCGGCACAGAGACCACGGAACUCUGCAGUCAUCUCAUGGGCUAAAUUAGACCACAUGGCCUGUCUUUGUACCGCAGUUUCCGCGUCUUUAAGGAAUCUACGACGCUCAAGCACUAUCCGUGCCUGUAAACAUAAAAACGAGCAUUUGAAGGUUAUUCCGUUCAUUACUACUCAAACGCGUCCACAUAGAACACACAAUCUUGUAGAGAAACUAUAUGAAUACUACUACCUUGGUAACAGGAAGCAAAGUAGCUGCAUGUGAGAAGGAUACGUCAGUUAGAGAAGAAGGCAGAGGAUUGGAAGCCACGUCAGCAGGUAAAGUCCGUCUAUGAACUUCUCUUAACGCAUGCAGUGAAAGCUGCCAUAAGAGCUCCACAAACCUGCAAUCAAAAACAGGAGGUUCCACAGUUACACAUCUAUUGCUGCUAAAAUUAGCUUCAACCACAUCAGAAGCAACCUUGGUCCACAGCAAGUGGCAAGUGAUGAAACUCUCGAGUUACUCCUUGGUAACGCCCCUUGUGACUCAAGCUCGCUUAUAAUCCCUUGAACAACCUUCAUUGCCAUCAUUCUAGCGUUAAGAAACUAUGGAUUCAGUAAGCAAAUUCUCAAUGAUUUACCUUUCGAAAAUCGCGAGAUUGAGCCGAAUCGAAAAUUGGCCAGACCUUAUCGAAAUCCUGAGAGAUCAACGAAACUCAAAAUCAAACGAGUGAUUUCAAAACCGGUUUCGAGAGAGGAAUCGAACCUUUGAAGACUGAGCGGGUCCUCGGAGAGAAGAGAGGAUGAAGUAGAGAAGCUGUUCUCCCAGCUUCGGGUUGGAAUGGCGGAAUAACCCCACCCGAGGCGUGCCGUUGGAGGAUCCGAGCCCGAUCACGUUCGGAUCCAAACCUAAGAGUAAGCAGUUGGUGUACAUUGCGCUCUCGAGCUCUAGUUCCCUCUCCUUCUCUCUGUCCAUCGUCAUCACCGAUCUUCCUCUCUCUCUCUCUCUCUCUUCUCUCUCUCUCUCUCUCUCUCUCUCUCUGCCCUUUUUCGAUUUAUUGAAUCUCGAUCGAAAUGUGUUUUUUCCGGCGACGUUUUUAAAUUUAAGUCCCUGAACAUAACUAAUUUAAGGAAACUGUCCCUACAUUUUUCUAACUAUCUGAAUAGUGGUGAAUUAGCGAGAAUGACAGUAACUUUUUUAACUCAAAGUAUAUUUUAUUUUUUCAAAUUUACUUUUAAAUAAUAAUUGUUUUCAUUAAUAUAAAAUUAACUUCUUAAAUCAUUUAUAAAUGUUAAAAAAUUAUUUAUAGAAGUUUGUAAACUUAAUCUUAUUCCCAAAUAUAUUAUUUUUAAAUAAUAAUCAUUAAAUAUUAAAUCUAAAUGUUAUGGUAUUUUUGAAAGUUGGUAUCCAAUUUAGGGUAUUUCAAAAAAAAUCUUUUGAAUAUUUUGUUUCUUGAAAUAAUAGUGCUCAACUGCUCAUACAAAAUAUUCAAUACAAAAACCAAAUUAUAUACUAACAUAGUUUAAAGGGCAAUUCUCAUAAAUAGACUAUUUUCAAGUUUUUGUCACAAAAAUAGAUCACAAGGAAGAAAAUGACCAAAAUAUUUCAUUUAAUAGGUAAAAGAACACUAAUACCCUAGAUAUAUAAAAAAAUUAAAAAAAUGUUUCAAGUUUUUAGAUUAUAUGUUUUCAAAUUCGAACUUUUUUAUAAAUUUUCUUUUAAUUUUUUUUCAAAUUUUUUUUUCAAACUUUUUUUUUCAAAUUUUGUUUUUGUAAUUCGAAAAUACUUUUUGAAACUAUUUUUAAAAAUUUUAUUUUCAAAUUUUUAAUAUUUAUUUUCUAUUUUAUAAAAUUUUAAACCUCAAACUCAAAUCCCUACCCUUUAACUCUAAACCCUAAGGUUUGGAUUAGUUAAUCCUAUGGGUGUAAGUGUAUAUUUACCUCUUUAAUGAAACAUUUUGGUCAUUUUGAUUCUUAGAAUCUAUGCGGAUGAUUGGUAGUUGUUGUAGGUGUUGUCAACAUCCCUAUUUAUUUCUACAGCACCAAAUUCAGAGCAAUCAAACUUUAAAUUUUUUUUUGAAAACAUAGCUCUUUAAAUAAUCUACAGCUGUAUAAAUGCUCUGCAGAGCCAAAUAUCCAAAGUAAUUUUUUAAUCAUUUCAAUAAAAUUCUACAGCAAUAAAAUCUAAAGCCACAUCAAAAAGUUUACAAAUUUUUUUCUAGAGUAAAAAUUUUAAAGCUACAGCCAUUACCAAUCGGACCCUAUAUUUGUGAUAGAAACUUUUUUAUUGCUAUCUUAGGGUAUUAACCUAGUUUAAAAGAUUUCAUUAACCAAAUUUAAAUUUGAAUCAAAUUUCAAUAAUUUUAAAAUAAAAUAAAAAUCAUAUGCGACUAAAAUUAGAAUUUAAAUUGAAACCAAAAGCAAACUAAAUCAAAUUAUGCAUGAUAUAUCAUGUUUUACUUUGGAUAUUAUCAUCCUUAUAUCAAAACAAAUCAAUUGAAAAAUUUAAAACCAAACCAAAAUUCGAAUUUAAUAUUGCUAAAGUUAUUGUAGCAUGGUUAGUAGACAUAUUUUAACAUAAUAGUAUAAAUUUGAAACGAUAGAAAUAUGGUUUAAAAAAAAAUUUCCCAAAACAUAUAAAAGAUGUGAAUCCAACAUGGUUGUUAAUAAAAUAAAAAAGAACCAUGGGGUAACAUUAUAACAAAAUAAAAUUGGGGGAUAUAAUUUGAGUUUAAGAAACUAGAGUGCUCUUUUUCUAAAAUGUUUUUGACUUUAUCCCAACGACACGUCAAUUAAUCAUAGGCAUUUUCCAAAUGUAGAAGCGAGGCUAAUGCUAAUGUGCACCUACGGCAUUAGCAACAAAUCACAUAUAAAUACUGUCUUAUUGUUCUGCCGUAUUUGUCACUUUUCUUUAACAUAAAAUCUCCAACGGUUGGAAUGGAUAAUAACAGAAAGUAUUACUACAUGUUAGGGUCUGACUGGUUCAAACGCAGCGGUUGCGGUUGCGGUUGCGGUUGCGGAAGUUUGCGGAUGCGGGUGGUUGCGGUUUCUAGCGUUAUUAAGCGUUUUGUAUGACUGGCACAACAUUUGAAAAUUGUUGUGUUUGCGGAUCAUUUCUGACUGGUUUACCCACCCACCCACAUAUACAAAAAAAAUUAAUAAAGAAUAUUUAAUAGACAAAAAAAUAAUUAUAAAAAAUUAAGAUUAAAUGUGACGAGAUGUAUCUUUCAUACUUUGUUGUGACGGCAUUACAGGAUCUGUCUCGAUAACAUUUGGAGUAUCUUUCAUUGGAGUUUCUAACCAGGCUGUGUCAUCUUGUUCCAUAAGAUCAAGAUCAUGUGAAUCUUGAAUCUGAACUUCUUCUUCAUCACUUAACUCAACUCGUGGAGUACGAUGAUAUACACCACGUCUUGGUUGCCAUGACUCCUCAACCACGACAGUUUCAUCUCGAAAUACCACGUCAAGAAGCGGUAUAAAACGCAACGGAUGUGAGCGAAAUUUCGAAGCUUCAGGGUAAGCCUUAGAAAUAAAAACAAAUAAUCACUAAAAAGAAAUAUAUAAAACCAGAAAAUUAACGUAACGUGAAAACAUGGCUUUAUGUGUACCUUGAUUUUGUCUUUCCACCAAUGCUCAGGUGCAUCAAUACUACCUGUUCUACUAUUAAAUCCAAGACCAGUUGACCCAAAAGUAAUUCUACGAUAGAUUUCAUAUUGCUUUUUCAAAGUAUCAAGUCUGUUUUUCACUUUGUUCCAAGUGAUCGCAACUGGAAACUGUUUUUUAAAUUCUUUGAGAACAUUUUGCUUUCCCUGCUCACUCAAGUUUUUGCCUUUAGAAUUUCCAUCUUGUUUUUCCAGCGUUAUCAGUUCUAACAAGAAACGAGUCAUCUCAUCUGACCAUUGUAGUUUCUAUUCAAAGACCAGGUGAACAUAUAUCCAAUUACGAAACAUACAAAUAUAUAUAUGAAUGAUAUACUGGUCAUUCAGAGAAUUUAAACAACAAAACAUAUAAGAAAUCAUAAAACAAUAAACUGGAAUAAAAUCAUAAUCCACUUACGUUGUUCUCUUGACUUCCUUCUUGGUUGGAAGCCAUGAUUUCAAUGGAUUGAAACUGUAUUAGGUUAACGUGAAUGAGAUAUUAUCAAAUAUACACAUAUAUAACGUUAAUUAAAAAUGGAUUAGUUAGGAUAUAUAAGUAGAGCUUUCGGCGAGAUGUAUCUUUCAUACUUUGUUGUGACGGCAUUACAGGAUCUGUCUCGAUAACAUUUGGAGUAUCUUUCAUUGGAGUUUCUAACCAGGCUGUGUCAUCUUGUUCCAUAUGAUCAAGAUCAUGUGAAUCUUGAAUCUGAACUUCUUCUUCAUCACUUAACUCAACUCGUGGAAUACGAUGAUAUACACCACGUCUUGGUUGCCAUGACUCCUCAACCACGACAGUUUCAUCUCGAAAUACCACGUCAAGAAGCGGUAUAAAACGCAAUGGAUGUGAGCGAAAUUUCGAAGCUUCAGGGUAAGCCUUAGAAAUCAAAACAAAUAAUCACUAAAAAGAAAUAUAUAAAACAAGAAAAUUAACGCAACGUGAAAACAUGGCUUUAUGUGUACCUUGAUUUUGUCUUUCCAAAAAUUUUAAAAUUCAUGAGCAAGAAUUUUUUUUUUAAAACAAAACAGAAAAAAAAACUAAUUCUCAAACAAAAAAUUAAAAAAAACUGUAAAUGUGGGAAGAGAAAAGAUUUAUUUUAUGUAAGUUUCACUAAAUUCUGUUGUUCGAUUUUAUUAUUUAUACAUAUAAACAUUUUUUUAAUGUUUCAAAAAAAAACAAAUUUUUUUUUAAAUGGGGGCCUUUUAAUAAUGGGGCCCCAGGCCCAUGUUUCAAAUGGCUCUCCUCAGGGACGCCCCUGACCAUACUACAUGUUAUAGAUAUUAGAUGCAUGUGUAAUAAUAAUACCAAUGGCAAUACGAUAAUAUUUCUUUAUUGGUACAACAGAACCUGGUGGAUUCAACGUAUUAUUAAUAUACUUUCUCUGCAUUAUCCUUUGAAUUUGAACCAAAGCAACACACUUGUACGAAGUUGCUUGAAUUUUCAUUGUCGUGAAUCUUAUUUUUUUUAAAUGUGAUAAUUAUGGCGCAUAGGAAAUUAUGCUUUUUUUUUAUAACCACACGGGAAAUUAUGCUUAUUUGUAUAUUUUUGGGUCUUUAGAAUUUAAAAAAAAAAGAGUAUAGAGAAUGUUUUUGCUUGUUCAUCGUUUGUGCCAUAAGGCUAAAUAUAUACCCAUGUAUCUUUAAGCGAUAUGUACCAAUCAAUAAAUAAAAAAUUGUAAAUCUUCUUAAACAUGUAUACACCAAGUAUUCAUACUUGAUAUGUAACUUGCCUGCAUGGCUGCAAGCAUAUCACAAUACCUUCUCUCAAGUUAAAGCGUGAAGAUUAAAAGAACGCCCAAAUUGGAAAAAAAAAAAUCAAACUCUCGAUGUAGGAGGAACAUGUAUCAGUCCAGUCAGCGGUUCCUAUAAAAGAUGAAGAGGUGGUUGUUCUUGGACAAUAUGAAGGGAUAUAUAUAGGGAUAACCCUACUUUUUCAGACAACUCAAAUAGCUCAACGUUUGUCAUAACAAUUCUUGGCAUACACAACCAAAGAUGGGAAGGUGCCUCUAACAAUUCAACUCGGAAAAAAAAAACAUAUGAUCAUAGAUAGCAUCAAUCUUUAGUGAAACCAAAACCAACAUGUUUGUUUGUACAUUCUAUUUUUUUUUUCAAUCAUAUUUUUGUCAUAAACACGGCUGGUCAUCAUCUUUUCAUUGAAUGGAUAUUACAUCGAUUAUCAAUCAUACGAGUUAGGGCUGGGCAAAUAAACCGAACCCGAAAACCUGAACCGAACCCGAUCCGAUAAAAAUGAAUCCGAACCGAUCCGAACCCGACAUAAAAACCGAAUGGAUCUUGUUUUAUGGUAUUUCGGCUUAUGUGUAUUAUCCGAGCCGAACCCGAACCUAAAUGGAUACCCGAUAGAAUCCGAAACAUUCAAAAUUUUUUAAAAAAACUUAUACCAAACAUGAUCUCAAUUCCUAAUAUGUAUUCAAAAUAUAUUGAAUAUCUAAAAUAAUUAUCUAUGAAGAUUGAUGGUUGAAUGUGGCAAUUGAAGGUUGAAGUUUUUAGAUUUGAGUUUUAUUUUUCAUUGAAUAAUGUUUUUCAUUUCAUGAGAACUUGAUUUUCGUUUCAUGCUUUCAUUUAUUUGGUUUUCUUUCGAUCAUUAACUAUGUUUACCUUUCACUUGAUUUUGUAUGAUUACAUUUGAUGUUCCUUUCUUUUUUUUUGAACCGAAUUUAUUUAUGUUUUGGUUACAAAAUAGGUAGAAAUCAAGUAUUUUAAAACCGAAGAACCGAUUUUAGUUACUUUUUCGUUACAAAGUAGAUAUAAAUCAAGUACAUUUAAACCGAAGAACCGAUUGAGACCCGAACACGAAAGUACAUCGGGUUGUACCGGUUCUUUGAAGAUUUACUAAACCCGACCAGAACCCGAUAGAACCCGAACCGGUCCCGAACCAAAUUUUCAUAUAACCCGAAUGAAACUGAUUUUGAUAAACCCAAAAAACCGAAACCCGAUUGGACUAAACCGAAACCCGAUUGGGACCCCGGAUGCCCAUGCCUAAUACGAGUGCAUAUUAAUCAGCAAUGAAAGAUGAUGUUCGUUUCACAAGGUCUUAUAAUAAAACACGUCGCUUCACUCCACCGCGUAUCCUCAAAACUAACUCUUACAUCAACUACGUAAUUGUGAACUGAGACUGUCUUGUGUUUAUUUAUUGAAAAUAAGAUAGAUCUCAAAUGAGGUAAAUGUUAUAUAAUUCAAAGAGCAUUUUGGCCAAGUAAAAAGUUUCUUCUUUUUCUUCACAGUUCAAAGAGCAUUUCACCAUUUCAUUAAAUCCAGAUUCACAACUUGAUCAUUAAAAUAUCGUAGAGGUUCCCCAUAACCUGCAAAAGAAAAAAAGCCACAAGACGAAAGUAUUCAGACAAAUCUCACAGCAACAAGUUCCUCCAAGAAAAUAACUACAUAAUUCUAGUUUGGCUUUUUUCCACAUACCAUUUAGUUCAUCAACGGUUCAGAGAAAAGAGCAUGCUCUGGCCACCGGGCAAGUAAGCCACAUUAGGAGAUCUCGCAAGUGUAGCUGCAACCUCCCUCGAAGCUUCAAUCCUCCUAAGCUCGAUAAGUCCCAUACCAGCUUUAGCCGUAGCGUCAGAGAUCAACUGUGCAGCUUCACUCUCACCUUCAGCUCUUAUAACCGCAGCCCUCCUCUCUUGAUCAGCCUUCAUCACCACAAACUUAGACCUCUCGGCCUCCUGCUGGGCCACCUGUUUCUGCUCAACAGCCUUUGAGAACUCAUACCCGUAAGACAAGUGCGUGAUUGCAACAUCGUCGAGCACAAUGUUGAAGUCUUUGGCACGUUUGAUUAGCGAUUCACGAACAAGCGCUGAGACGUGAGGACGCUCAGUGAGGAGCUGGUCAGCGUUGAACUGUGCAACCACGGCUUUUAAAACCUCGUUUCCAAUUGAUGGAAGAACCUUCUCAUCAUACUCAAGACCCAACGUUUGGAAUAUGUAUGGGAGACGCAUAACCUUGAGGCAUGAUGAACAUCACAUAAAAGCAUAAACAAUUCAAAUACUAUAUAAUGGGAUUAAAAGCAGCAUAAAGAUUCUACAUUGGGCAAAUCUCCAAAAUAGCACAUUUCUAAGUUUAUGUCACAAAAUAGCCCUCAAAAACUAAAAUGACCAAAAUAGCAUUUUAUCUUUUGAAAAAUUUAAAUUUUUUUUUAUUUUUCAAAAUUUGAAAUCUUAUCCCACUCCCCAACUCUAAACCCUAAAACCUAAACUCUAAACUCUAAACUCUAAACUCUAAACUCUAAACUCUAAACUCUAAACUCUAAACUCCAAACUCCUAAACUCCUAAACUCCUAAACUCCUAAACUCCUAAACUCCUAAAUCCUAAAUCUCAAACUCCACCCCUUAACUCUAAACACUAAUGUCUAAAUUAAUUUACCACUGGGAUAUAAGUGCAUAUUUAUCUCUUUUGAUAAAACAUUAAGUGCUAUUUUGGUUAUUUUUAUUCUUAGAGGCUAUAUUUGUGACAAAAACUUUUUUUAGUGCUAUCCUAAUCAUUUUCUGAACUACAUUUCCAUAAACCCUAACCCCUAAAUCCAAUUCCUUAAUAGUCAAAACCCUAACCCCUAAAUCCAAUUUUUUUUUCCCCUAAAUCCAAUUCCUGAGAUUCGAACUAUGAUAACAUCAGCACAACCUCAAUCUUCGUGGCGAUCAAGCUAAGUCUAGUUCGAAAUUUAUACCUCAGGGCGAGAGAGAACACGAAGGGUGAGAUUGACCAUCUGAAGAUCCUUCGUGCCGGAGAUCGAAGAGAACGUGUGGGGCUUCGUGCGGAUGUCGAAGAUGUGAGGCUUCUGCAGAAUCGGGAUCAGGAAAUGAGUCCCUUCGCCGACGGUCUGGUCCAUCACUCCUCUGAAUCGAUCGAAGAUCACAGCUCUCUCUCCGCCGUCAACGGUGUAUAGCGACGUGUUCAGCACCGUCGCCGCCGUUCCAAGACCGAAAGCCGCCUUCGCUAGAUUGGAGAGGAACGAAACCGCUGCUUGUUGGCUUCCCAUUUCUCGAUUCGGAGUAGGGUGAGGCGUGGAGAACGAAGUGAGGAAGAAAUUGAGACGACGACGAGAGGAGGAGGAGAGUUUUGUUAGGGUUUAUGGAAGCUACUAUGGAAAAUGCUUUAAUGGGCCAAGUUUAUUACCCAAUAACUUGGGGUUACGCCCAUUAAUAGCCCGUCAGAAUUAUCAAAAAUAUAAGAAGAUAGAUUGGCCCACAGGAGAGAAAACAUUUACAAGAUUGCAACAUUUAUUAUACCAGGGGCAUAGCCCUUGCGCAAGCGCAGAGCCGGAUACGUUGUUGAUGCAUUGCAUAGUUAUGUCUACGGGAUUCUGUCGUUUGUUUUUUAUUCUGAAUUUUUGUUUUUGUGUGUUGUCUGUAAGGGUGUUAAAAUGGAUCAUGACCCAUGGGUUAACCCAACCCAAGUUGACCCAUUAAUCCAAAUGAACUUUUUAUUUUUGAUCCAAUAGGUUAAUGGGAUAACAGGUUAAUGAGUUAAUAAGUUAAUGGGUUAACAAGUUAAUGAAUUAGCAAGUUAAUGGAUUUAUUGGAUUGAGUCAACUCUGACCCAUUUUGUUUUCAAUUAAGAAAACCAUGAGUAAACCACCCAAUUCUAAGGUUUGAUAGAAUUGGAAAAUCAUGAGUUUCUCAAAAGUUCAAUUAUUUAUUCGGUGGUAAAAUGCGUUUCCCGCUAAAACCGCAAAAAUAAGUUUUUCCGCUAAAACCGCGAAAAUACGAUUUUCCGACAAAACCGCAAAAACGCGUUUUUCCGCCAAAACCGAAAAAAUGUGUUUUCCCGCCAAAACCGCAAAACGCGUUUUUCCGCCAAAACCACAAAACGCGUUUUCCCGCCAAAACUACAAAAACUAGUUUUCCCGCAAAACCACGUUUCCCGCAAAAACACAUUUUUCCGCCAAAACCACCAAACGCAAUUCCCCGCCAAAACUGAAAACCCAGUUUUCCCGCAAAAACGUGUUUUCCCGCCAAAACCGCAAACCGCGUUUGCGCCAAAACCGCAAAAAAUGUAUUUUCCGCCAAAACCGCAAAACCGCAAUUUUCCGCCAAAAACUGUAAAAAUCAGUUUUUCCGCAAAAACGCGUUUUCUCACCAAAACUACAAAAAUGUGUUUUCCUGCCAAAACCGCAAAACGCAAUUUCCCGCAAAAAACGCGUUUUCCCACCAAACCCCAAAAACGUGUUUUCCUGCCAAAACCGCAAAACCACAUUUUCCUCUAAAACCACAAAACGCGCUUUCCCGCCAAAACUGCAAAAAAACUUGUUUUCCUACAAAAUCGUAGUUUCCUCACUAAAUCGCAAAAACUUGUUUUCCACAAAAACCACAAAACGUAUUUUCCCGCCGAAACUGCAAAAACUCAUUUUUCCGCAAAAAUGCGUUUUUUCGACAAAACCACAAAAAAUGUUUUCUCAUUUCGAUCAACUUGGUCUUAACUUAAAAAUAAUUCAUUAUAAAGAUGUUGGGUUGAUGGGUCAACCAUUAAUCCAUCUAACCUAUUUAAUUUAAUGGGUCAUGGGUCAAUCCAACUCAUUUAUUAAAUGGAUUGGGUUGACCCAUGACUCAUUAACAAUAAACCCAUUUGGGUUAUGGGUUGGGUUGACCCAUUUGACCCAUUUUGACACCCUAGUUGUCUGUAAUGGUGAUGAAAUGAACAUUGGAAGGCACGUAGUUUGAUUAGGUUGAAAUGUGUUGAUAUUUUCAUAUCUUAAAGUAUUAGCGCUUUCAUGUUCAAAAACUGAAGUUUAUGGAGUUGGUUAGUGUUUAGUUAGGUAGUUGUUAGUAUAUAAAUUAAAAAAUGUGUAAGGAAAAAGAUAUAAAAUUUUUUUCUUAAAAAUUAACAAUUAUCCGAACAAUAAAUUAAAAUAUUUUAUAUUUUCCCUAAAUGAAUUUCAGAAAUAUAGAAUUGUAAUAAAAUGUAUUUUUAAAAAUUAAUAACUAUAGAAAUUUAUAAAAUUAUAUAGUUACAAAAUCAUUUAUUUUUUGAAUUUUUACUGGAGUUUGUUAAAAAUAAUUUGUGGCGGACAAAAAAAGUUUGAAAUAGGUGGACCAAAUAAAUAAAUUUUGUUAUAGUUUAUAGCCCAAUAUAGUAAUUAAGUAAAACCGGGGUUUUAAAACAUUUUCUUUCAAAAGAACUCGGCCUUGAAUCUGUAGUUUUGUCUGCUUCUGAGAAAACUCAUGUUUUUCCGUUUCUGGAAAGUCGACACAAUUUUCUUCCUGUCAGUACUUUGCGUUUUUAGUUUGUGAGAUUGAAAAUGAUAAUUGUUUUACAGCCUGAUUGAUUAGAGAUUUGCUUACAUCAGCUCCGUCUUCCUCCGGUGUAGUCAUUGAUCUUCGGAGGUUUCGUUGGCGUCGAAAGUUAGACCUGCAAGAGAGAGGGUUUGAAUAUGUUAAUUUGCUUGUUUGUUUUGUUAUUCGUUUGGGUUGGUUAUAUGUGAACUGAAACCAUGGCUUCUGAUUUAUGAUUUGAUGUUUUAUUUGUUAACAUAUCGAUUGAUUGUGACAGGCCAUUGUAGGCCUUUCUGUACACGAUGUUGGCUAUCGUCCUACACCCAUCCUCAUUUCUUCUCAUGUUUAAAAUCUUGAGGUCCUUGGUUUUAGUGACUCUUGACAGUGCCACAUAUAGGUGACCAUGGCUGAAGACUGGUUUAGGCAAGUAUAGAGCAAUGUUUGACAAAGUCUGUCCUUGGAUUUUAUUUACUGUCAUUGCAUAACAAACCCGGAUUGGAAACUGGCGUCGUUUCAAGGUGAAUGGAUGGUUGGAUUCUGGUGGUGACAAUAUGAUCCAUGGUAGCAGGAUAUGAUCCGUCUUGGUUGUUGUUGUAAGGAUUUCGGUUUUAAUAACCUGACCAGAGAUAGCUACGCGCAAGAUUUAGUAUAGUUCAACAAAAAACAAUUGAUAUUUGUUUGUUCUUGUUUUGUUUGUAACAGUGUUUUGAAUGAUUAGUGGGGCUUAUGGUCUGUUUCUUUUUAAGUGGCUCUUUGGAUCGCAUUAGUUUAAUGUUUCAGUCUUUUGUUUGCAGUUGCUUCCUGUUGAAGAAGUUUUUCCUACUUACCUUAUGAUAAGAUUGGGCCUAUUUUAAGUAAAUUGGAGUUAAUAUAUACGUGGAGUUCUGUUUGUGGACUUACUUAUUUGGAUUCGUUGGGACAUUAGAUCUAGUGUCCCAGCGUUAGUUCACGUGUGGCAGUACUAUGAAAUGUGAAGUUUGGUGGUUACAUUCUACGAACUGAUGUUUGAUGCUUCAUGUAUUCAGUAUCCAAACAGGCUUUUUGUUGUAACACUUUUUUUUGUAACACUGGUAUACAAUCAGGUUAGUCCUCCAUUUUAACAGCCUCAUUAUUGUAGUUUCUCAUUUGUGUGAUAAAUGAGGAGAUAUCAGCUUGGUUAUGGCUAACUUCUUUAAAAUCGUGAUUAUUGCUUUUUGAUAUUUUAACGCCUCAUCAGAAGUUUUUAUUGUUGUACGUUGGGUAUGUGACAGUGUAGAUUUAAUUAAAAUGAGCUUUGUUGGACCCAAUUUCAGUCAAUACAUUAAUGGGCCACAAUCAAAGACAUGGGCCGCGAGAACCGAAGCCCAUAGCGAGUAUUCGAGCUCGAGACAGAGACCCCGAGGUCUCGGAGAUCGCGGAGCGGUUACGAAGAUCACGGUGUCGACCCACUAUAAAGAAGGAGGAACGGAUACGAAGGAGGACACGUUGAAAACCCUAGAGAGAGCUACACCCACACUUCGACCUUGUUUUCAUCAACCUUUAGAUCUUUUCUUUGAACGAUCUGAUUGUAACAUUCGAUCUCGUUUUGCUCAUUGUAUUCGAACUCAUUCAUCAAUAAAAGUCUAUUUUUGCCUACCGGAAACUGAUUAUAUCGUUGUGUUCUAAAGAUAUUAUUGCCUACAUCAUUUAUCUUAUCCUGAUUAAACUCCCGAUCCCUAUCAGAUUCUUAGUGUAGAUUUUAGGAUCUACAGGCUUGUAUUUGAGUUUUUGUUAACUAUGGUCAUGGUUUUACAAUGUGGCAUGUAAUUCUGUAUUCUGGUUCAACCGGUCGUCGGGUUUAAUAAGCACCAUAUAGUGUUCUAUAAAGUGGAGUGAGCUUAUUUCUUAGGCUUCUCGUAACAGUAAGUUUAUUUUUAUUUGGGAUUAAAUAAGUUUUGGCUAGCCUGUGUUUUUUUGUCAAAGUAAAAAUCAGUUCAAGAUGGCUAUCAGUUAGUACACAUUAGUUAUGAUCAUAAGGUUUGUAGCUAUCGACGUAUCAAAGAGAAGAAGGCUAAUAGAAGGAUUUUCUCAAUAAUAACCGUCCACACCCACCCGUUCUAAUUUUUGGUGAAGUAGGCUUCUCUGGUACUUCUAUUUUUCGCACCAUCAGUACUUGGAUAAAUAUAAACAUUUCCGUGAAAUGUAAUACACUUAUUAAUAAUAAAUAUAAAAACAAAUGUCAAGUCAAAAAUGUUAGAAAUUGUUAGUCUGUAGAAAAUAUAUAUCUCUACUAAUAAAAGGGAGCUUUUGAGGCUCCAUAGGGCGUCCACAUCAGCGGAAAAAAUUUCUCCCGAAAGAUGACACGUGGCAUAAAAUAUAGUUUUACAUUUUAAAAUUAAUUAUUUUCGAAAAUUGUAAAAAAUAUGUAAACAUACAGCAUUAAAAAUGGAAAACUACAUAAAACAUAUGUAAGAUUACUAUUUUUCACUCUACUAAUAAAAUGGAGCUUUUGAGACUCCAUAGGGCGUCCACAUCAGCGGAAAAAAUUUCUCCCGAAAGAUGACACGUGGCAUAAAAUAUAGUUUUACAUUUUAAUAUUAAUUAUUUUCGAAAAUUGUAAAAAAUAUGUAAACAUACAGCAUUAAAAAAUGGAAAACUACAUUAAACAUAUGUAAGAUUACUAUUUUUCACUUUAAAAAAAAGACGGCUUAUCUCCAUAAUAUAACAUUACCGUUUUAUAUAUAAAAAAAAUUAUAUAUAAUUUCGAAAAUAAUAAAUAUAUGUAAAACAUACAACAUAAAAAUGGAAAUACUACAUUAAACAUAAAUAUGUUUGACUAUUUGUCCAAGUUCUUCUAUUAAACAUUGCCGUUUUACAUUAAAAAUGGAAAAAUACGUAAAGAUUUAAACAUCUAUCUUAAAAUAUAAAAUAUAGACAUUAACUAAAUAUAAAGUAUAAAAAAGAGAAAUACUCAAUAUAUAGAAAAAUAAAUAAUAAGUAAAUAUUAUAAAUAUAUAAAUAUACGAAUUAUAUAUACAAUAAUAAGUAAAUGCACAAUUUUUAAAAAAUGGAAAGAGUACAUUAAAUAUUAAACAUCUAUCUUAAAAUGUAAAAUAUAGAUAUUAAGUAAAUAGAAAGUAUAAGAAAAGGAAAUACACAAUUUAAAAAAAUGGAAAAAAUACAUUAGUAUUUAAACAUCUAUCUUAAAAUGUAAAUCAAUCUUAAAAUAUAAAAUUAUUAGUAAAUAGAAAGUAUAAGAAAUAGAAAUACACAAUAUAAAGAAAAAUAAAUAAUAAGUAAAUAUAUAAUAUAAGUGAAUACCAAAUUUAAAAAAUGGGAAAUUACAUUAAGAUUUAAAAAUAUAUAUUAAAAUUUAAAAUAUAGAUAUUACGUAAAUAGAAAGUAAAACAAAUGGAAAUAUACAAUUUAAAAAAAUGGAAAACAUACAUUAAGAUUUAAACAUCUAUCUUAAAAUGUAAAAUAGAGAUACUAAGUAAAUUAAAAGUACAAGAAAUGGAAAUACAUAUACAUGAAAAUAAAUAAUAAUUAAAUAAUGUAAAUAUAUAAUAUAUGAAUUAUAUAUGUAAUAAUAAGUAAAUACACAAUUUUUUAAAAAUGGAAAAAGUUAAUCAAGCAUUAAACAUCUAUCUUAAAAUGUAAAAUAUAUAAUAUAAGUAAAUACACAAUUUAAAAAAUGGAAAAAGUACAUUAAUAUUUAAAUAUCUAUUUAAAAAUAUAAAAUAUAGAUAUUACGUAAAUAAAAAUAUAAGAAAUGGAAAUAAACAUUUAAAAAAAUGGAAAAAGUACAUUAAGAUUUAAGCAUCUAUCUUUAAAUGUACUUCUAUCUUAAAAUGGUAGUAAAUUAUAUAAAAAUGGAAAUACCACAUUAAACAAAAAAAAAUGUAUAGUUUUACAUCAAGAAAGUCUCUAUAAAACUCAUUAUUCCAUCCACAUCAACCUCACACUAUUAAGGAAAAUUUCAAAGCACUCGAGCAAAAAAAUGGUUUCACUAUCAACUCUUGCCGUCCCAGAAACCUUUAAUGACCUUGAAUGAGAUUUUUUUAUAACAACAAACUUUUUGUUAGGUGGAUUCAUUGUUGGGAAACCCGCAACUUCCAAAAACCAAACUUAUUCAUGGGAAUUGAAUUGCUUUUCAUAGACUCAAAGGUAUUCUUACAAAUUUAAAUUAAUCUAAUCUAUAAUUUUAUUGUUAAUAUUCAUACUAACUCUUUCAUGAUCAAACCAUUUCAGUUAAUAACCAUUCAAGCGUUUAUCCCGAAACACUUCCUUCCUCGCCGAAUCAGGUAUUGGUUCAUGUUGGUUUAGUAUUGUUUUUGGUUUACUAACCGGUUUAGGAUGGUCCUAUUGUAAAUAUAAUUUAAGUUGGUUUAGCAUAUAUUAUGUUUAAAAUAACUUAAAUUAAAUAAUAAUAAUAUUAUGCUUAAAAUAUAAUUUUAGAGAGUUUUCAAAUAUAGUUUACAGAACAUUAUAGGUGAUGAAUUUAAUUUAUUAAAUUCGUUUAUUACUUAAAACUAAGGUUUUUUAAAAAACAUACUGAGUUAUACAUAUCAAUGAUGGAUUGGUGAGUAUAACAUGAAGACAAAAAUAUAAAUAUCUGAUUUUCAAGAUAAGAAAUUCAGCUUUUAUUCAGAUACUCAAUAUAUAAUAUCUUAAAUUAUGUUUUAAAAAAUAUACAUAAUUUAUAUAUAUAGAUUAAUCUUCAAAACUUAAACUAUUAUAUUAUAUAUGAAUAAUGUUUUUAAAUAAAAAUAAUUUCUGAUUUAAAAUAAAAAUAAAAACAACAAAUGUUUAUUUUCAAAUAAUGGAUGUAAAUUACAUUAUACUAUCAUUUAACAAGUUUUAGAUACGUUUUGAUAUAUCAUUAUUUUUUAUUUCCAGAAAACAAUAAAUUGUUAAACAUCAAUAUCAUCUAGGUUAAGUAUACGAACAACAAAAAUUCAAACAUCACAAAAAAUAUUUACAUAACCAUUAUAAUACAAUAAUUUAAUCAAAAAUACAAUUAAAAAAAUAUUAAAAAGAAUAGUUAUAUACUUAAUAUUUGAAAAUAAAAGAUAUUUUUGCUAAAAUUAUACUUACCUGGCCAAGGAGAUCGACCAUCUUUUUACGGAUCAUUCGAAUGUUGAGCAUGUGGUCGAUCCAAAAAUACUCUGCAGUUUAAUAAAAUCUCUAAAACAUUUAUUCCAACACUCAAAAGAUAGUUUUGCUAAAUAUGAUAACUAGAUAGCCAAUAAAAUUACAAAAAAAUAUUUAAAUAGUAAAAAAUAUGUUAAUUUAACGUGUUAAAAUUUAAAAAUAAAUUUUAAUUAUGACAUGCAUUUUAACAUUUAUAUAAAUAUAAAUCAUAGCCUUAAUAUAAAUAAUUUAACAACUUAAAUUAGAAAAAAAAUAAAAAAACCCGGGCGUAGCCCGGGUUAAUCCCUAGUACUAUACUAAAAGGGAUAUAUGAACUUCAGGGAGGACGUCCACGUCAGCUUGGAAAAUCAUCCAAUAGGGAGGUUGCUUUUUGCCACGUCACACGGAUCAAAGUGUUAUUGGGCUUCCUUUUUUUUUUACGAUCCCGCAUGUUAAUCUGAAUGGCCCAGAAAACCCCAUUUCCUUUUGCUCUUCCUCUUUUUCGUUUCCGUUUGACGAUAUGAAAAUAUAAAUAACUCUUCGGCUCUUAAGCACUCCGACCACCACAUGUGUAACGUCAUCCGCUUUUCCCUUACAUCUCCUUUAAUCUUAACAUUUACAUCGAACCCACUACUAUUCCGUUUUCAACUUUUUAGGAACAUAAUUUUUUCUAAUUUUCAUUUGAUCUGAACAAAAGAGGAUCAGCAGAAGGACGGUUCGAAAAGAAGUUGAACAUGAACGUGAGGCUUAAUCAUCAAGUUAACAAGUUAUUAAACUUCAGAUCAAGGUCGAUGAUAAGACAUGUCAAUUGUCGAUGAGAAGACAAGUCAAAUCGUUGGAUGCUCUCUUCAAGACCUUUGAUUGUGGCUCUGUAUCACGUGUUCAUCCACUCAGUUUAAUCGGCGAUGGUGACUAUUUUAUGAUUCAGUCAUAAUUUCAGAAACUUUGUUUUCCCCAAAAAAAGAAACUUUUUGAAAUAUUUUUCCUAUUCAAUGAUAUGUCUUUAUGUUGGUGAUCUUCAAUCAUGACCGAUGAUUUUAACGGCCUCUCCCCUGAUAUUGAUGAUCCUCCUUAGAAAGCUCACAAAACCUGAUCUUCCACAAUCCAAUCGACAAACCAAAGCAGAAUAUCAAAAGAUCUACAGGUAUUGCUUUUUUCUUUCUGGAAUAUCUUAGUCCUCUGGAUUUUUGGUCAGUUUAAUAUAUAUGGUAUUGAUUCUGUGUUUCUCGCCCUUGUCAGUCUUCAGAAGACACAGAGGUAGGCUUCAUUAACUCACACUAUAGUCCUAGAUGUAGACCUUUAGGUGAUUUUAACCAAUUAAUUAAUUGGAAUGUUACAUUGACAAGAAUCGGGAGAAAUAACUUACCACCAUAAAAGUGAAUCUGUCUUUGUAGAGUUUAGUGGGGGGUUAACAAAAACAGUCCUUAAUAAUAAGAAAUGUGAAUAGUAGUAAAUGUUCAUACAUAUGCUUUUGAUACUCACUGACUUAAUAUAAGAAACUUUAUUACAUUUACAAGACUCUAAAUGUAUACUUCAACAACCUUAUCGCAGUCAACCUAGCUUCGGAGCUGACAAGAACGUGGAUAAUAACUAGCAGUGGCUGUCGACUAAAGGUGCAUCACUCGGUUGAUACAAUGCGAGUUGCAAGAAAAGUUUCACGUUAAAUGUGCAAAACUGAUGCCAAAAUGCAGAUGGGACAAUGUAAGUGUUGCAUAUAUUAUAUAUAUGAUAGUUCCUUUUUAACACCUUUUCUUAUGAAUAAAUGAACUUUGUAAUGCUAUGCCCUUCAAAUGCAUCCUCUAAGUUCCCCUGUGGAUAGACUAAUCCAAAAGAAAUAAAAUGCAAGUGUAUUCCCAGUAAAGGGUAUUGUCAUUUUCAUGUGUUGAUAGGAAUUAUAAGGUGAUUCUUAUUUUUGAAAAUAGAUUGCUUAUAAUCACUUUCUCUAGGCCACAACACUCUCAGCCUAAUCAAGUAUCAAAAAAAACUGACAUCAUUUAGCUCCAGAGCAAGCCUGUUCAUGGAUUACCCAAGAAAUAUGUUCUAUGUUGUUCAGGACUUACAAAUGAAGAGAAAUAUGGUUUUUUUACUCUUUUGUUUGCGAUUUGGUCAAAUCACAAAUUUGCCAAAGUGUGUCUAUAUCUUUUCUUGCAGGGAUCAAUGCAUGUCUGAAAAACAUAGAAUGUAUAACCGAGCUACAUGAGAUUUCCAUAGAUGAUCAUGGAACACGACAAGGACCUUAUAUUGGAAGACAUAGCCUUGAACAAGGUUAGCUUCGUUUAUCUCUCUGUAUAUAUGUUCCAACAGACUUGAGAAUAUGAACAUCGUAACAGUUUAAUUUACCAAUACGCAGAAACCAAAACUUUAUAAUGGACUGAAGUUUUACAUUAUUGGAUAUUUCAAGCUUGCUUACAAAGGAUAUCUUCAAGAUAUAGUAGCAGGAGGAACAAUGGAGGUGAUCCAUUUCUACUGAUGACUUGAACAGUUAUAGUGUGUAGUUUUGAGCCAAGCAAGAAGAAAACUCUGACACAAAGACGAAUUGAUGUUGAAGUCUUGGAGAGCAGGAGCAAGAACUGCAAACAGUUCAUGGGUCUUGGAUUCUAUUGCAGAUUGCCAAAUUCUAGACUUGAUAUAAUAAAUUUGUGAGAUUACAUCUUUGGGUAUUUUGUUUUAGUAAUUUCAUUUGUUUCCUUGCCGUUAAUGCUUGCAGAUCUUAGAUUUGUAGAUGAAACUGAGAGUGUUGACUCAUAUAGUUUUGCAUCAUAACUCAGCAAAAAAGUUAAAUAUAUAUAAUUUAUGAUUAUGAUGCAGUACUCACUUAGCGAAUGAAUGCAAUAAGAUGUAGUACUCAUUUUUAUUUUAAUACAUAGACUGCUGCAAGUAAGUGUUAUUAUCUAAAGUAAGUUUCCCGAGAAAUUUUUCAUAUUAAAUAAGUUCAAACUAAUAUGUAUACAUUAUUUCUUUUUACACUAUCACUUAAAAAAUAUUUUUGAAUCAAAAGAAAAAAAGUCCACUUUGAUUAUAUGUUUAUUUUUCCUUAACACUCUAAUUCUAUGUUUGUUUUCAAAUAAUAGAUAUCUCUGUCUUUAUAUACAAGAGUUACUUGAAAUUUGAUUUUGUAAAAAAAUUAACAAUAUUGACACAAUACAAAUCCAAAUGAUCAAAAAAAUGUUAUCGAUAUAAACCCCCAAAUUUGUAAAAAAAAUUAUUCAGACUCCCAAACUAUUAAAUUCAUUAUUAAAAAGUUUACAAUUUUCAAAGCCUCUAAAAUUUCGGGAUAAGUUUUUGAAGGACAUUAACACUUAUCCAAUAACAACUCUCCCCUUUAAACAAACGAAAACGAUAUGAAUUGAAAUACCUAAAAUAUUGUUUUGUUAGAUCAAGAUAAGUGUUAAAUUAUAACUAAAAAAUAUUAUAAAAUUAACAAAUGUUCCACACGAAAUGCAGAAAAAUAAAUUAUCAAAAUAGAUAAUAGAUACAAAUGUAUAAUUGCAAUAGAUACAAAUGUAUGAUUGCAAUAUUAAAAAUUUGAAACACGUAUAAUUGUAAUUUUUGGUAUUACAAUUUAGAGAUAACUUAAAACUUAAAUAAACUAUACAUUUAAAAAUAUUUAAUAAAAAAUAUGAUAUAUUAUGUACUUUUUUAGUUACUAACCCGUCCGUAGGACGGGCCAAACCCUAGUAUACUAAUAAAUAUAUCUUAUCACCGUACAGGAAAAAAAAUAUACUAAUAAAUACUAAAACAAACCGAAGUAAAUAAUACAACGCUUAAAUUAAUCAUUUAUACAAUCAAACUACUAUAUUAAUGACUACGCGAGAGUAUUAAAUUAUUAAUUGAGCAUAUCAGUCUGCGACGACAAAAGUGGGAGGCCCUUGGUGCGAGAUCGAGUUAAUGUCAAAUGGUAUCACCAGUGAGGAGCAAUGCACUUUGAACUUGGAAUUCGAUCAUACAAUUUUCAUGGAAUAUACCGCAGUUAAAAGUUUUAUCUUAGUAAAAAUGUAAAUAUAAGCAUCAUCACUUUUAACAUUAUAGAAAUAGAAGUCAUUAUUCUCAAAACUGAGUCAUAAUUACAUAUAUGAAAUAGUAUUAAAGAAAGCGAGUUGUGAAACCAAUCUACCAACUUUUUUUUUUUUGAAACUAAUCUACCAACCUUUUUUAACGUUGAAAAACCAUUCAAUAACCGUCCACUCCCGCCCUUUCUAUUUUUUUUCUGUGAAGUAGGCCUCACUUGGUCUUCAAAGACACUGAGGCAGGCUGUUGCAGACCUGCAUUGUGUGGACUCAGAUUAGGUCCUUAGGAAUAUAUUAACCUACACGUAAAGCUAUUUAAGAACCUAAGAGCAACAUUAUCGUCAGGACAAAAUUUUGGUAUGUUAGCAUUUUCUAUUAAUAUUUUAAGACCAAGAGACAAUACUAAGGUACAAUAGGAAAUGGGUAGAUUAUUGGUAGAUACUUUUGUUGUCUCUUAGUAAAUAAACAAGGCAAGAACAGAGAUCUAUUGAAGCAAAACUCAAAAAGAGAUAUCAUCAAAGAUCAAAGCUUUAUGGACAAACAAUCAAACCCAGAAACUUAAAUUCCAUUAAAACUGUAAACCCAAUUCAAUCAAGCGUGGUAAGAAGAGUCAUCAGAGUUAAUCGUAAUUGGAAGAAGCAGGACAAGACUUAUCACCACCGUUAAACCACCAACCAUCGUCUCUGCCAAUGCUGUUUCCGUUAUCAUUAUUGCCGCCGAUAUCUCCAGAAGGAAAGCAGUUUCUCGCUCCUAGCUAUUGAUUAGUAAAGCUCUCAUUAGCAGUGGCGACUAAUCGUGGGAACUGGGAAAGGGAGGGAAGCGGUGGUGGUUGGAGUGAUUGCGGUGGGAGAAGUACUGUCCAAUUUUAUUUCAAGAGAAGAAGAGACACGUGUUCAUAAGGAACGUUUGUUAUCAAUACUAUUAAAACAGGAAUAUGCCCCAUUGAUAUUAGUUGAGUCCAAUUUUAAAAAAAUAAUUUUUAUAUAACUGCAUCAAAUAUAACUGCAUCAGUUGAUAUAUUCAUAAUUAUGUAGAUAAUUGAGUAACUAGAUCUAAAAUUAACUAAAAGGGACGUAGGAAGCAGUUACGUAGAAGAGUUGAUCAAUUAUAUUAGAAAUAAUCAAGACCCACUUUACUGAAUUAUCUGACCCACUAAAUAAUAUAUAUCUUCUUUUAUCAAAUAGUUAAUCUGGUCAUAGAUUAUAAAUCAAUACUAUUAAAACAGGAACAUGCCCCAUUGAUAUUAGUUGAGUCCAAUUUAAAAAAAACUGAUUUUUAUAUAACUGCAUCUAAUUAUAUUAAAACACUAACUAUGUUGUAAUUUAUAACUUCUUCUACCUCUAGCAGAAGCAGUUAUCAGGUUCUCUUUAAAAGCGCUUUUUAUGAUCAUCGAUUAAUUACUCAGUAACAAACAAAUACAGAACUCAGACACAAAUUCAGAGUACACAAAUUAUAUUAUCUAUCCAUUUGUGGUUUCUGAAUUCACUUUCUAGCUGAUUUCCUUCGCUCCACUUACUGGUCGAAGACUACAAAAAUUAAGACAAAGGGCCAUGUUCGAAAAUGUUCGAGAUAUAGAGCUAUGCUUGGGCGUGGUGAUUUCGUCAUAAGCGGCGAGCAAAUCGAAGGUCGCGAUUUUUUUCUUUUUUGAGUUUUGAAUGUUUAAAACUGAUUUUUUACGACAGAUCUAUGUAUUUGAGACUACUGAUACGUAAUCACACAACAAUUUGAUAAUUUACAAGGAAAUAGUUGAUGGCCGCAUGAAAAUAGAUUUACAGUGUCAAAACCCUAAAAAAAAAUCUGGAAAAGAUGAUGAAAAUUACAAUUAUGCCACUUAUUAAAAAAAAAAAAAAAAAUGCACAACAAGCUUUUGUCGUAUAGAAUUAGGAAACUGCCGACAAAAAAAAAAUUAGGAAACUAAUUCCAAGCAACUGAACCAACAAUUGCCACCAGGCCACUGAAAUUUAAUAUUAUUGAUCCCAAAUUUAUUAAUUACAAAACUCGGUUUAACCAAUUCCAAGCAUAAUCAAAUAAGUUUGAUUCUUAAUACUUACCAUAAAUGAAAUUUCUUGAUCAAUUCCUGAUUUUAGUCGUUUGUAAUAGGAAACCAAAAUCAUUCUUUUCCUUACACACAGUUAUUUUAUUUUCAUUACACACUUGCUAUAUUUUCUUUAGCAUUUAUAAAAAUAAUUUUACAUAAAUAUUUUUGGUCAUUUAUAUUAUUAAGUGGACAUUAUACCUGCGGGUAAAGAUCUAGAACAAACAAAUAUGAUUUUAAAAAAACGGAUAUACGGACAUAUAAUUACAAA
rnacentral:lncRNA from 1 species